UUAAGUUAGUAAGGGCAUACGGUGGAUGCCUUGGCACAAGGAGUCGAAGAAGGACGGGACAAACGCCGAAACGCUUUGGGGAGCUGUAAGUGAGCAAAGAUCCAGAGAUAUCCGAAUGGGGGAACCCACGAUUCGUAAUGGAAUCGUAUCCAUAACUGAAUCCAUAGGUUAUGAGAAGACAGACCCGGGGAACUGAAACAUCUAAGUACCCGGAGGAAGAGAAAGCAAAAGCGAUUCCCUGAGUAGCGGCGAGCGAAACGGGAAAUAGCCCAAACCGAAAAGCAUGCUUUUCGGGGUUGUAGGACACUUUAUACGGAGUUACAAAACAAUGGAAUAGAUGAAGCAGUCUGGAAAGGCAGGCCAAAGAAGGUAAAAGCCCUGUAAUCGAAAUUUCAUUGUCUCUAAAGUGGAUCCUGAGUACGGCGGGACACGUGAAAUCCCGUUGGAAGCAGGGAGGACCAUCUCCCAAGGCUAAAUACUCCCUUGUGACCGAUAGUGAACCAGUACCGUGAGGGAAAGGUGAAAAGCACCCCGGGAGGGGAGUGAAAGAGAACCUGAAACCGUAUGCUUACAAAUAGUUAGAGCCCGUUAAAGGGUGAUAGCGUGCCUUUUGUAGAAUGAACCGGCGAGUUACGAUUACGUGCAAGGUUAAGUUGAAAAAGACGGAGCCGCAGCGAAAGCGAGUCUGAAUAGGGCGAAGGAGUACGUGGUCGUAGACCCGAAACCAGGUGAUCUACCCAUGUCCAGGAUGAAGUUCAGGUAACACUGAAUGGAGGUCCGAACCCACGCACGUUGAAAAGUGCGGGGAUGAGGUGUGGGUAGCGGAGAAAUUCCAAUCGAACUUGGAGAUAGCUGGUUCUCCCCGAAAUAGCUUUAGGGCUAGCCUCAAGAUAAAGAGUAUUGGAGGUAGAGCACUGAUUGGACGAGGGGGCCUCAUCGGCUUACCGAAUUCAGUCAAACUCCGAAUGCCAAAUACUUAUGCUUGGGAGUCAGACUACGAGUGAUAAGAUCCGUGGUCAAAAGGGAAACAGCCCAGAUCGCCAGCUAAGGUCCCAAAGUAUACGUUAAGUGGAAAAGGAUGUGGAGUUGCCUAGACAACCAGGAUGUUGGCUUAGAAGCAGCCACCAUUUAAAGAGUGCGUAAUAGCUCACUGGUCGAGUGACUCUGCGCCGAAAAUGUACCGGGGCUAAACGUAACACCGAAGCUGCGAAUUGACACCGAAGGUGUCAGUGGUAGGGGAGCGUUCCAAGUGCAGAGAAGUCAGAUCGAGAGGACUGGUGGAGCGCUUGGAAGUGAGAAUGCCGGUAUGAGUAGCGAAAAGACAGGUGAGAAUCCUGUCCGUCGAAAACCUAAGGUUUCCUGAGGAAGGCUCGUCCGCUCAGGGUUAGUCAGGACCUAAGCCGAGGCCGAAAGGCGUAGGCGAUGGACAACAGGUUGAUAUUCCUGUACCACCUAAUCAUCGAUUGAGCGAAGGGGUGACGCAGAAAGAUAGGGAAAGCGCACGGUUGGAAGAGUGCGUCCAAGCAAUAAGGCUUACAAGUAGGCAAAUCCGCUUGUAGUAAAGGCUGAGUUGUGAAGGGGAGUGAAACUAUAGUAGCGAAGUUCCCGAUUUUACGCUGCCAAGAAAAGCCUCUAGCGAGAAGAUGGGUGCCUGUACCGCAAACCGACACAGGUAGGUGAGGAGAGAAUCCUAAGACGCGCGAGAGAACUCUCGUUAAGGAACUCGGCAAAAUGACCCCGUAACUUCGGGAGAAGGGGUGCUUCUUGAAAGAGAAGCCGCAGUGAAAAGGCCCAAGCGACUGUUUAUCAAAAACACAGGUCUCUGCAAAGCCGCAAGGCGAAGUAUAGGGGCUGACGCCUGCCCGGUGCCGGAAGGUUAAGAGGAGGGGUAAUCACCUACGGUGAGAAGCUCUGAAUUGAAGCCCCGGUAAACGGCGGCCGUAACUAUAACGGUCCUAAGGUAGCGAAAUUCCUUGUCGGGUAAGUUCCGACCCGCACGAAAGGCGUAACGAUUUGGGCACUGUCUCAACGAGAGACUCGGUGAAAUUAUAGUACCUGUGAAGAUGCAGGUUACCCGCGACAGGACGGAAAGACCCCGUGGAGCUUUACUGUAGCUUGAUAUUGAAUCUCGGUACAACUUGUACAGGAUAGGUAGGAGCCAAAGAAGCCGGAGCGCCAGCUUCGGUGGAGGCAACGGUGGGAUACUACCCUGGUUGUAUUGAGGUUCUAACCCAGAGCCGUAAUCCGGUUCGGAGACAGUGUCAGGUGGGCAGUUUGACUGGGGCGGUCGCCUCCUAAAAGGUAACGGAGGCGCCCAAAGGUUCCCUCAGAAUGGUUGGAAAUCAUUCGUAGAGUGUAAAGGCAAAAGGGAGCUUGACUGCGAGACCUACAAGUCGAGCAGGGACGAAAGUCGGGCUUAGUGAUCCGGUGGUUCCGAAUGGAAGGGCCAUCGCUCAACGGAUAAAAGCUACCCCGGGGAUAACAGGCUUAUCUCCCCCAAGAGUCCACAUCGACGGGGAGGUUUGGCACCUCGAUGUCGGCUCA
rnacentral:rRNA from 1 species